UUCAAGCCUCAUAGGCUUGUGUUUUGUUAAGAGUACAUAUUGACCUAAGCGUAUCUAAAGCACCUGUUGUUUUCUGUUCUUAUUGAUUGUGUGUAGGAAGAAAGUAAUUUUCUGGACCUGGAUCUUUUUCAACUAUUGCAUUUCAACUACUGCUCAUUGAUGCUGAGAAGACAGCUGGUUUGAUGAUUUGUACAUUGCUGCAGAAGCAGAAUAAGAAUUGCUUCAGUGGGAUGAAGAAAUUAUUUCAGUUUGGAAUCCAGCAAUAAAUGAAACAAAGUUGUUGUCAAACCACUGUAAGCAGCACAUAAAUAAAAGUCAAGCAAAGAAAUUGUGUUGGAUUGAGGAAAGGACUAGGACACCUGAAACAUCAUUGCCUAGAGCGGAACUCCUGGCAGCAUCCAGCCUUCACUGGAGGAAGCACAAGGUCAGUCUUAGAAACAGGGAUGGAGAGUCCCUGAUGGUACAGUUGGGCUCCCACUAUUCUCUCAGAGGCCAUGCAUUUCAAACUGUGUCUCGUGUGAUAGCCCAGGAACACACACCGCCCUACUGGAAAGCUUCUUGUGGUAGGUUUGCGUGCAGCGGAGGGCAAGGAGACCCCAGUCUCAUCAGAGGCCUUGUGGUAACAUGGGAACACAGAUGUGAAGCAUGGUAGGAUUUUUUUUGAGGGCAAACAGGCAU
rnacentral:lncRNA from 1 species